rnacentral:rRNA from 1 species
CCAAUAGCGUAUAUUAAAGUUGUUGCAGUUAAAAAGCUCGUAGUUGAAUUUCGGGAUUAGUACGCUGGUCGUGCCUUCGGUAUGUACUGGUGUUACUGGUUCCUACCUUCUGACGAACCGUCAUGUCAUUAAUUUGGUGUGGCGGGGAAUCAGGACUGUUACUUUGAAAAAAUUAGAGUGUUUAAAGGAGGCUCGCGCUUGAAUACAUUAGCAUGGGAUAAUGAAAUAGGACGUUCGAUCCUAUUUUGUUGGUUUCUAGGAUUGACGUAAUGAUUAAUAGGGAUAGUUGGGGGCAUUAGUAUUCAAUUGUCAGAGGUGAAAUUCUUGGAUUUAUUGAAGACUAACUACUGCGAAAGCAUUUGCCAAGGAUGUUUUCAUUAAUCAAGAACGAAAGUUAGGGGAUCGAAGACGAUCAGAUACCGUCGUAGUCUUAACCAUAAACUAUGCCGACUAGGGAUCGGAUGAUGUUAUUUUUAAUGACUCAUUCGGCGCCUUACG